rnacentral:misc_RNA from 1 species
GAUGAAGAACGCAGUGAAAUGCGAUAAGUAAUGUGAAUUGCAGAAUUCAGUGAAUCAUCGAGUCUUUGAACGCACAUUGCGCCCCCUGGUAUUCCGGGGGGCAUGCCUGUCCGAGCGUCAUUGCUGCCCUCAAGCACGGCUUGUGUGUUGGGCCCCCGUCCCCGGUUUCCCCCGGGGACGGGCCCGAAAGGCAGCGGCGGCACCGCGUCCGGUCCUCGAGCGUAUGGGGCUUUGUCACCCGCUCUGUAGGCCCGGCCGGCGCCAGCCGACACCCAACUUUAUUUCUAAGGUUGACCUCGGAUCAGGUAGGGAUACCCGCUGAACUUAAGAAUAUCAAUAAGCGGAGGA